CCUACGGGUGGCAGCAGUGAGGAAUAUUGGUCAAUGGGAGCGAUCCUGAACCAGCCAAGCCGCGUGAGGGAAGACGGCCCUAUGGGUUGUAAACCUCUUUUGUCUGGGAAUAAAGCCCGGUAUGUGUCCUGCAUUGCGUGUAUCUGAUGAAUAAGCAUCGGCUAACUCCGUGCCAGCAGCCGCGGUAAUACGGAGGAUGCGAGCGUUAUCCGGAUUUAUUGGGUGUAAAGGGAGCGUAGACGGUCCUUCAAGCCAGUUGUGAAAGCUUGGGGCUCAACCCCAAGACUGCAGUUGGAACUGGAAGGCUUGAGUAUCGGAGAGGCAGGCGGAAUGCGUGGUGUAGCGGUGAAAUGCGUAGAUAUUAGGAGGAACUCCAGUGGCGAAGGCGGCCUGCUGGACGAUGACUGACGUUGAGGCUCGAAAGCGUGGGGAGCAAACAGGAUUAGAUACCCCUGUAGUC
rnacentral:rRNA from 1 species